ensembl:lncRNA
GUUCCUUUUGUCUCUCUUAAGAGUUUCAAUGGCCAUUUUCGUCUCCGUUUGAGCUUUGCAACUGGGAAACAAAGAAAUCUUUAAAGAGUAAAAGGCUCCACCCCUGGGAGCCCCAACUUUGGGUUUCUGGGCCUGAUCACCCCAGCAACCCUAAGUGGGGGUGCCCUCUCUUGACAGUUGACUCAUUGAGUGUUUUAGUCACCUAGUGAGUCGGUUAUGAGGGUAGGAGACCUGUGAUUUAUUCUGUGAACUGUCGUGCUAGCGUAGUGUGCCCCAGCACGGGAACUGUUGUGUGACUCUUAUCUUGAUAACCCUCUGGAAGAGGCCAUGAGGGUGAGGUCUGAUCUCUUCUUUUCCUUUCUUUGUCUGUUUUGCUCAUCAUCUCUUCUGUUGUCACCAAGUCGAGGUUAAGUUCAGGCUAGACCUGAGCAGAACCUUGACCUUCUGUAAAAUUGGAAAAAUAAGUCACGUACCCAUGCCUUAUAAAAUUAGCCCUAACCCUCAACUCAGGGCAGCAGCAGGAGCUCUGACUGCCCAUGGGUCCUGUCCCCAUGCCAGCAGGGGCUGCAGCAGCUGCUCUGCCUGCCCAUGGGACCUGUCCCCAUGCCAGGGGGGGCAGCAGAAGCGGCGGCAGCAGAAGCUCUGACUGCCCAUGGGUCCUGUCCCCAUGCUAUUCCACUCUAUUCUCUAAAUAAAAGAGCACUACUCCAAGAUCUUGAGAGUCUAAGAAAUCUUUCUUUUGACUCCUCGGCUCACCGACCCCGCAUCACUCUAAUUGCCACAUACCAGUAAUACCCAUCCCCUCUGCUGUCGUAAGAACCAAAAAUGUCUCCAGACAUUGCCACAUGGCCUUGGGGAUCAAAAUCACCCCUGGUUAGGAACCACUGGCAUACCUGCACCAUUUUAUAGAUAGGCAACUUCAAGGACCAAAGAGUAACAGGGAUGGGGGCUGACUGUUUCCCGCUACACAGAGAAAAGGCAGGGGCUUUGAAUGGUGGGAGAUGGUUUCAUAAACUUUUCUCUGUUUCCACAAGGUCAACUCAUCUCUACCUCAGUUAAAAAAGAAAAGGGCAGGUUGUAGCGUAAUAUGAAAAUGUGGUCCAACUAAGUUUAUUUUAUUUUAUUUUGUUUUGAGGAAGAUUUGCCCUGAGCUAACAUCUGCCACCAAUCUUUCUCCUUUUUUGCUGAGGAAGACUGGCCCUGAGCUAACAUCUGUGCCCAUCUUCCUCUACUUUAUAUGUGGGACGCCAGCCACAGCAUGGCUUGCCAAGUGCUGCCUAUGUCCCCACCCGGGAUCUGAACUGGUGAACCAGGGCUGCCGAAGCGGAACGUGCAAACUGAACCGCUGUGCCAUCAGGCUGGCCCCUGAAGUUUAUUUUUAAGUAUGUAAAUCCACAGCAAAAGGACUAAAAAAUUUUUAAAGUAAAUGUUAAAUAUGCAAAUCUUUGUGUGAUGGAGUCAUCGGUAAUAACUUUUGCUUCUUUGUGUUUCUUUCUAUCUUCCAAAUAUUAAAUGAUUGCGUUGCUUCUCUCCGAAGGUUUUAUUAUACAACGUUGGAAUGUCAGGUUUGUGAGGGCAUGCCCUUUCCUCUAAGUGGACGUGUGAAGUUCUGUUAUAGACACUAUCCCAACGCCCGAUUAUAAACCCAUCCAUGUUAGCAGCACAAAGGUAUUUGCUGUCAACACCUAGGUAAUUCAACACUGUAUGGACAGCGUGAACUGAUGCUGAUUUUCUCUCUCAGCCAAUAAGACUCAUCGAAGAGCCUUUUGAGUGACUCAUGGAGAAACACUGCCCUGAGCCCAGCACUUGUGGGUAUCGCCUGGCUUCUCUUUGGGUGGUUAAUUAAUCUACUUGUUGAUUUUUCUCCUGUUAUUCUGUCUCACACCAAUUUAGUUCUUAGAUGAGCCAGAAGAACCUAGAAGGUAGAGGAAUCGUUUUUCCUCCUCUACACCCCAUUCAAGUGACGGAGGGAAAGGUAGAUCUGAUCCAGUUACCCCGCCUGUAGGAGAAAUCUUAGGUUUCUAACGAAUGGCAUUCCCUCCAAGUAUGACUACAAUGCAUAUUUUGGAGAAUAAAAAUAAAAAUUAAGUAAACAAAUAUAAUCUGCAUACGUUCAUCCAGAAAUACACCUCAGCAUAUUGGCGUAAACUGGCAUAUUUUUUUUUCCAUUCACUGUCCUGGGUGUGUUUAUAUAGUUGCACAAUUGUCACCUUACGUACUGUUUCCUCUUUCUUUUUUAUGUAGUGAAUGGAUUACUGUAGUUUUAGAACACGUUCAAAUGUCAGGUCAGCUUGUCUCUUAUUAUAAUUUUUUGGAGGAAUUUUUUCUUUCUUGUUCUCCUGUGCUCACUUUUCUAGAUGAAUUUCAAGGUCAAUUUGCCAAGUUACAAAAAAAAUUCCUCGUUAACAGGAUUCCAUUUGAAACAUGGGUUAGCGUCGGAAGGAGUCACAUUUUUUUAGUAUGAAAUUUUUCCAUUCAAGAAAGGGUAAACACUUCCCCACUCUUGACUGCACAACUCGGGUGUUAGAAUUCACUUUUUCCCUCGAGGACGUUCUGCACAGAAUGGAGUUCCCUAAAAUGGGGCUUACUGCUUUCCAGGCUUGUCAGCUGGCCCCCGUUCUAGGAUUUCGCUUCCUUGUAUUCUUGGGGUAAAUUUUGCUGCCUCCCUGAUCCAAAUGCUGUACUCGGUGACGUCCCAUUUACUUAAUAUUUCACACUACAUGUCUUUUGCCAAUGUCCUGAGAAAUAUCUCAAUUUUAUCUUCUUUAUACAUAACUUUCUCUUUCUCUCUCACACUCUCUUUCUCUGUAUAUGGCAUAUAUGUGCAUUUAUAUAGUAUAUAUUAUAUAGUAAUAUUAUAUUGUAUAUUUGCUAUAUGUACAAGAUAUUAUAUUUAGCAAAUGCCAUCUCCAGUACAUAGAGUAUAAAUAGCUUGCUACAUAUAUGCAUGUAUAUAUGAAUACACAUAAAUUAAUAACUAUAAUAUAUGAGUAACACAUAAUAUAUAAAAAUGUAUAAAAUCUAUAUAUAGGUACAUAAUAUAUGAUGUAUGUAUCAUAUAGUCAUACUAUAUAGCAUAAAUAUAGCAUAUGCCAUAUAUUAUAUACAUGCAUCUAUAUAUAAAUAUUUAAUAUUAUAACAUAUGUAAUAGAUAGUGUAUUAAAAUACAUAUAAAAUAUAUUAUGAGAUCCAUAUAUAGAUGCCAAUAUUGUAGAAUAGAAUAUAAGACGAUGAGUACAUAGCAUAACACAUGUAUAGCAAUUGUAUAUGUACUCUACAUAGUGUGUAUAUUCUCUCUACAUAGAUACAUGCAUGCGUGUAAUCACAUAGAUGUUGAACACAUGUAUUUGCAAUACAAAUGUAUAAAAACACAAAUUGGUGUAACUCACACAGGGGUGACAGGCAUUUAGAUUACUUCUGCUCCUAUGCUGUUAAAUCACUGAUUCAGUCAGCAAAUCGCACACAUGUCACUUUCCCACACCUGGGACUGUCUGUAGCUCAGCUCCCCCAGGGGAACGUGUCUGUACCUCACCUCCUAGAGGAGGUUCUAGGUCAGAGAAAGAAAGUUUGUAAUUUUGAUGGCCUCUGGAAACAUGAGAAUAAAUCGUGUGUUUUGAGCCACUAAGUCUGUGGUCACUUCCUUCAGGGGCAAACUCGUCGCGUGGCUUACUGGAGCUCCUAGCUAUGCGGCUUUUUCAAUAACCAGUGAACACCCUAAGAAUAACGUUUUAAUUUGGACAUCUCGUUUAUGAAUCUAAAGGUUAGUGCCAGUAGUGAUUUCAAUAAAUGCAUCAAUAUUUCUUUGGUGGCUCCAUCUGGUGACUGUCAUUGGAUUUCCUGGUUUGCAUGGUGACACGUCUCAUCAGGGGGCCGUUGAAUCUGCAGAGAUGGAUGUUUGACCGUUUUGUCUUGGCCCUGUCUCACCGCCGAGUGGCAUAUUUGCUAACUUCGCUGAGCCGGAAAUGAAGUAUCCGUGAUCCAUCUUCAGAGGAGUGGAAAAAAGCCCUCUCAUGUUGAUUUAUCUCCCCCCAAAAAGAGCCGUUUCGUAGACACGUAAUUCAAAGCAGACAUCCACUUAACGAUUUAUGACACAGCUAUAAGUGGUGAAGCUGAGAAAGAAUCUAGCCCCUCAGGUCUUCAAACUCCAUACUCUCAAACGCUAAACAGCAAAAAAAAAAUGUAGCAACAAAGAGGUUUUUCUGCAAGGAAGAUGGGAUUUCUGCAGACAUGGAUCAAUAAACCCCUAUUUCAAGUUUGGCACUGGAUCUUCUCUGUCACUUCUCACACUCACACCAGUGAGAUGGUGAACACGCUGCCUGUGGGUUGAAUAUGUGGAAACAGACGCUGGGAGACUGGAAGGAGCGUGUCCAAGGAUACAGAUUUGUUUCCCAGCAGAGACAGCAGAGAUGGUCUGACUUCAAGGCCAGUGGCACAGAUGUGGUUUUUCGAGGCCAUUUCCAGGUGUCACCUGUCACUUGUGACUUUUCCUGAGCAGAGAGUGAGCACUCCAUCUAGAACCAUCGUGUCUC